rnacentral:rRNA from 1 species
UGGGGAAUUUUGGACAAUGGGCGCAAGCCUGAUCCAGCCAUGCCGCGUGCGGGAAGAAGGCCUUCGGGUUGUAAACCGCUUUUGUCAGGGAAGAAAUCUUCUGGAGUUAACUACCUCGGGAGGAUGACGGUACCUGAAGAAUAAGCACCGGCUAACUACGUGCCAGCAGCCGCGGUAAUACGUAGGGUGCAAGCGUUAAUCGGAAUUACUGGGCGUAAAGCGUGCGCAGGCGGUUUUNUAAGACAGAGGUGAAAUCCCGGGCUCAACCUGGGAACUGCCUUUGUGACUGCAAGGCUUGAGGUGCGGGCAGAGGGGGGAUGGGAAUUCCGCGUGUAGCAGUGAAAUGCGUAGAUAUGCGGAGGAACACCGAUGGCGAAGGCAAUCCCCUGGGCCUGCACUGACGCUCAUGCACGAAAGCGU